AGAAAUAGGAAUCGUCCUAAUAUCAAUAGCAGCCGUGAUUAUCGUAUCCGUCCUGUUGAGUGGAGCUAUGCUGACACGCAGAUCUGGUCGAUUGUCCAGCAGACGGACUGCAACACAAUCAGCGAGACAGCAACAAUCACCCGUAGGCGAAUCACCCACAGAAACCAACG